rnacentral:rRNA from 1 species
UAGCAUAAUCAUUAGUUCUUUAAUUGAGAACUGGCAUGANAGGUCGGACAAGAGAAAAUCUGUCUCCAUUGUUAAAAUUAAAAUUGACUUUUAAGUGAAAAGGCUUAGAUACUUCAGGGGGACGAUAAGACCCUAUAAAACUUUAUAUACACAACAAUACAGUUAAAUUAAACUAUAAAAACUUAUUAGAUAAAAUAUAUUUAGUUGGGGCGACUGAGGUAUAAUUUAUAGUAACUGAUUAAGAGCUAGACAAAUAAUAUUUGAUUAAUUUUAAUUGAUCCUUUUUAAAGAUUAAAAGAUUAAGUUACUUUAGGGAUAACAGCGUAAUUUUUUCUAAGAGUCCAUAUCGAAGAAAAAGAUUGCGACCUCGAUGUUGAAUUAAAAUAUCUUUAUAG